CGGAUGUUGUAAAGUUAGCGCGCAUCUACUGUUACUCAGGAAGUGUUUACUAGCUGGAAAAAAAACACGCUGGUGAAUUUUAUGUCAUGUGUCAUGACGGAGACUGAAAUGGCGUAAAUCAGUGUUGAGUGUUUGAGACACGGUGCAAUGUGGAGACUACACCCUACAGAUCCGGGGACAGGCCCAAUCACUUUGCUUGAUGGUAAGGAGCAUGUAGUAGGUCGUAAGAACUGUGACAUCCUUCUGCCCAAUGACCAGUCGAUCAGCCGUGUACAUGCCCUCAUCACUGUCACUGAGCAGGCUGUCACGCUGAAAGACUGCUCCAAGUACGGCACUUUUGUCAACGACAAGCGGCUAGAGACUGGAUCCACCAAGGCUGUCUAUGCAGGGGACAAACUGACAUUUGGGGUUUUUCAGAGCAAGUUUAGGCUAGAACUGGAUUCUGUGGUUGUUUGUUCAUCGUGUGUCGAUAAUGAAGGGAAAGCAACUCUCUCCAAGGACGUCCAGGCUCUUGGGGGACGUCUGGUCAACUCCUGGUCUCAGGAGUGCACUCACCUAGUCAUGCCUGCUGUUAAAGUCACCAUAAAGACGAUCUGCGCGCUGCUGUGCUGCCGACCGAUAGUGAAACCCCAGUUCUUCACCGAGCUCUCCAGAGCUGUUCAGCAGAAGGAAAACCUUCCCAAAGCGGAGAGCUUCAGGCCUGAGAUAGAUGAACCGAGCAUCGCUAAAGAGAAAGUGGACCUGGGACCAUGUCAUGAGAGAAAGACUCUGUUUGCAGGCAAAACCUUUGUCUUUCUCAACACCAAACAGAUGAAGCGCUUAAGCCAAGCUAUUGGUUUUGGAGGUGGAAGAAGUCAGCUUUUGGAGGAGGGAUCUCUUCCAGUGUCACUUCUAGAGUCCACAGGAAUUUGUGUUGUCGAUAUGGCUACAGGAUCUUCCCAAGCACCGAUGACUCCUACUAUCAAGAACUGGACAAAUUCUGUCAGCUCGAUUCUGCACAGAAAUGGUUUACGUUUCAUUGCUGAGUCAGAGAUCGGAUUAGCUGCCAUUUACGUCAAUAUUCAGACAUACUGCAAUCCCUGCUGUUCUUUGGAUUCACAAUCCGUUAAUAUGAGGCCAGCAAUCCCCGAAUCGACACUUUCCCAGAGCGCAGCCGUGGACGAGACCGUGCUUCAUGGAGCCUCAAUAAACAUCACUGCCUACGUGGUUAAUACAGAGCCAUCUCAGUGUAUCGGCAGGAUGGACAUAUGCGAGGCCACAGCUGUGGGCGAGACCCCAGAAAAACGUCCGACUGUAAAUCCGCUGGGUGCAACAACAUUUAAGAAGCUGCCAAAGGCCACAGAGCUGCCAGCUGCCUGCUCUGAGCCCGUUUCAUCCGGUGAUGUAAAGGAAGGAAAGAAAGCCAAAUCCGAAAGCCAGAAGAGUGCUGAAUGUAAUAAAUACAGUGGCACAUUUAAAAAAUCCCCGCAGAAGCAAGCAUCACUGACUUCCUACUUCAAGCCACCCAUUAAAAAGAGGCAGCGCGAAGGCAGCACCGAAUCCGAACUAUCAGACGCCAAACUCUCUAGACGAGAGGAUGAGGAAAGCAACUCUCAUCUGGCUCCUUCUCUACAAAAAUCCUCAGUUUCCAGAUUAGAUUCAAAACUAGCCCAAAACCAGCAUGACACAACCCCACGCUAUGGUUCCAGUGGCAGUCUCGGUUUGGGCUCUUUUCUCGCUACAGAUUCCAAAUCAGGUGGCUUGCAACAAAACGUGAGCCUGAAUUUAGAUCUGAAUUACAGUUCCAAGAAGAGGAAAGAGCCAGAACAGGAGCCUGUAGCACUUGUCGAUUUAGACGUUUCUCUGGAGGAACUCGAGUCCAUCAUGUCUGAGGACAUGGACGCGCCUGAGCCAGCGGCUAAAAAGAAGCAGCUUUUGGAUCAAGGAGGAAGAUGCACAGCUACUGCAGAGGAGGAUUGUAGUGACCCGUUCAGCAAGCAGAGCAAAGCAGAGAAACAGCAACGCAUAGGCAGUACAAGCCUGAACUCUGAACAGGACACGCGAGGUCUAGCGAGAACGGCACAGGUCACGUCUAGUAAGACGAAGGGGUCGGAACAGGAACGGCAAGGUUCAACAAGUGGAAAUGACAGACGUAAAACCGCAGACGUUAAAGAAGAGGAAGUUUCUUUUCUUUUGGAAACCAAGGUCCCGAAUGGCUUCGACAAACACAGUGAAGUGUCUGCAGUGAAGGAAGAACCCACGGCCUCAAGCUCAGGCUCUGCUCCUGAGAAAGAUCCUGAACUUCCUAGUAAGCUUUUGCAAGUCCAGUUUAUGUCCCUGACCGUGAGGGCCCCCAGCAGGACGAGGGCCGAGCCACUACAGAGCCGUGAUACGAACAGAAAGAAUUUCAAACGUUUCCGUAAGGUCCCUGUUCCUGGACUUCAGGGCUUACCUAAAAUCAUUGGAGGCUCUGAUCUGGUUGCUCAUAACCGCAGCAAAAACUCAGAACUUGAGGAGUGGCUGAAGGAUGCAGCUGAGCAAGAGAAACAGCAAGAACGUGAUGAGACUCUAGGUGAUGACCUGUUCAGGUAUGACCGGGCUUGAUAUCAUUGUCACUCUGAUCUUUGGAAACGAGGAGCCGCCAUGUUAAGAGUUAAAGCGUUUUCCUCCUAACUAAAGAAUCCUUAAACAGCCACAGGUAUUCAGUGGAUUUACCCAAUGGCACUAAGCUGUCAUGGCAUGCAGAGAUCCAAAGCCUGCUUUUGUGACAGCAAAGCCAGGCUCAGACAGUAAGGAGCUACAGUGCAUGAAACAACAAAUACAAUCCAAGGACUACUAAAAGAAGAUGAAGAUUGUUCAUUGUUCAUUGUUUUACUGACCUGAAUGUUCAAACCGGGCCCGAGUUUUAGUGUUUUGUUGGUUUACAAUUGUAAUGUUUCGAGCAAUCGGUCAAGUCGGUCAAUUUUACACGCUCACUUUUUAAACCAUUAUGAAAGACAUCUCUGAAAAUGUGUCACAGUUUUUUUUUUUCAUUUGGUUAUCUUUCAUAAGCCUUCAUGUUUCACUUGCAGACAGCUUUCACUAAUAUCAAUAAAAAAAAGCACCUUUUUAAAAAUCAUAUGUACAGUACUAUUCAUAAAAGUAACCAGUUUUUCAGAUAUUUCCUUGAGCACUACAAAAACAGCGAACUUUUUUUUUUUUUUUUUUUAUAACUGUCCAAUACCUGCCCACUUGGAUGAAUGUUAUUUGUAUUGUGGAUUAUAUAACAGAUGUCCGCGUUAAAACUCUGACAUGAAGACUUCAUGAAACACAGUAUUCGGUAAAAAAAAUACAACAUAACAAAUCACCAAGCCGCCAGCUUUUUUUUCAACCUCCAUGUUUUCAAAUGAUCAAGUUGAAUCUUUAUAAUUAAUCAUUUCUUUUUAUUUAAGCAAAGCCUAAAAAGAUGUAACAAACUAGUUUGAAAAGAUUUAAUCAUCUCUAAUAAAAUGAUGUUUACAAAACA